CAAAUAUUCACAAACUGAUCACAACCUCGGAAUCAGCACCCAAACAGGAAAUGGAGCACAACAGAAGCCUCCUUGGUGCCCCCUUUCAGUCCAUACAUCCCCUCCUCCCCCAGAAUGACUAUCCUGACUGUUAAUACUCCGUAGGACGCAGCAAGGGCUACCAUCUGCAAGCCAGGAAGACAGCGCUCACCAGGAUCCAAAUCAGCCAGCACCUUGAUCUUGGACUUCCUAGCCUCCGGAACGCUCCCCAGUACGUAGCUGUAUGUUCCAGUUGUAGGUCCUUCUGCUUGUGCUAUGUGAGAUGCCACCUCAGCAUGGCCUGAUAAGCGGUGCCAUGUCCACACCCAGGAUCCGAACCGGCGAAACCCUGGGCCACUGAAGCAGAGUGCACGAACUUAACCACUUGUAUCUUUUGACAUUAGAGAAAAUAUUGAAAAUAUUCCUUUAACUGUGUCUUUGGGCAUCCUUCCACCAAUCACAUCACCGUCCUACUGAGACAAACCGUGCAAUGGAUUAUCCCAA
rnacentral:lncRNA from 1 species